GAACUGUCCAAAUUGUCCGGUCAUAUAUUCCCGCGGCCCCUGUAGACACGACUCCGGUCUUAAUAUUAUAUUCAUCUGAAAUUGUUCCGAAAGUUUCUUCUGUGAUUGUGACGUCCUCGGUAUCAAUAGUUUUGAUUUGAAUAAUUAUCUUCUCUUGUAUUUUUCCGAAUAUUGUCCAGUUCGUCUUCUAGUGUUGUGAUUCGAUUCCACAUACGUUCUUUGUCGCGCUGUAAUUGGUAUUGCUUGUCGAUAGCUUCACAUCUUUGAUCGUAAAUCCGAGGAUUAGCCUCUUUAAGACCAGUAAUGCUUUCCUGUAAUUUUUCAAUUUCUUUUUGGUCAUCUGCGUUUUGUUUGUGAAAUUUUUCUAAAUUGCGAAUCACACUCUUAUGUUCUUGUUUUAGCUCUUUGAACUUCUUUUCAUAAUGAUCACUUUUGAUUUCAAAUUUUACUCUCUCUGAAUGCACUCAUUAUCAAUGAAUUCUCUAUCAUAAUUUAAGGUUGGAAAGAAGUCCAUCAGUUCUAUUGUAUUCAGUUCCGCACAUGGAAACAUUGACCUUGCUUUCUAUUCCUUGAAUUUCGUCAUCCUUUCUGCGUCCCGACGUAACUUGGAUUUAGAUUUAACUUUAACAACUUUCACGUCCGGUUGUCUAUGAAAGUUACACAUUCUGGCGUAAUGUCCAAAACUUCUGCACUUAUAGCAAAAUGACGUUUUUGCUAUACAUUGUCUAAAAUGAAAUUGAUUGUUCACAGUCUUUCCACAAAACUUACAUAGGCAGUUGUCUAUAUGGUGAAAAUUUCUUGUCUGAAAGGUAGUUCCAUAAUCAGGCAUCUGGUAUCUCCAGUCUCGGUCGAAAUUUCUGUUUCUCUGCGUAUCCAUUUU
rnacentral:lncRNA from 1 species